UUAGAGUUUGAUUCCUGGCUCAGGAUGAACGCUGGCGGCGUGCCUAAUACAUGCAAGUCGAGCGAAUGGAUUAAGAGCUUGCUCUUAUGAAGUUAGCGGCGGACGGGUGAGUAACACGUGGGUAACCUGCCCAUAAGACUGGGAUAACUCCGGGAAACCGGGGCUAAUACCGGAUAACAUUUUGAACCGCAUGGUUCGAAAUUGAAAGGCGGCUUCGGCUGUCACUUAUGGAUGGACCCGCGUCGCAUUAGCUAGUUGGUGAGGUAACGGCUCACCAAGGCAACGAUGCGUAGCCGACCUGAGAGGGUGAUCGGCCACACUGGGACUGAGACACGGCCCAGACUCCUACGGGAGGCAGCAGUAGGGAAUCUUCCGCAAUGGACGAAAGUCUGACGGAGCAACGCCGCGUGAGUGAUGAAGGCUUUCGGGUCGUAAAACUCUGUUGUUAGGGAAGAACAAGUGCUAGUUGAAUAAGCUGGCACCUUGACGUACCUAACCAGAAAGCCACGGC
rnacentral:rRNA from 1 species